ACGGGGGGAGCAAGCGUUGUUCGGAAUUACUGGGCGUAAAGGGCUCGUAGGCGGCCAACUAAGUCACACGUGAAAUCCCUCGGCUCAACCGGGGAACUGCGUGUGAUACUGGAUGGCUUGAGUUCGGGAGAGGGAUGCGGAAUUCCAGGUGUAGCGGUGGAAUGCGUAGAGAUCCGGAGGAAGACCGGUGGCGAAGGCGGCCUGCUGGGCAGUUACUGACACUGAGGCGCGACAGCGUGGGGAGCAAACAGGA
rnacentral:rRNA from 1 species